UUAUGGGUCAGUUUCUUGAAUGAAAGUAGUAAGUGAACUGCAAACAGGAAUUCCAGAGAGUGUUUAAUUGGGGUGCAAGCAAUUUGUGUGGAGACACAUAUGCACAGGGGAAAAAAGAACUUAAGGUUCUUGUAGAUGGGAAGACAGACAGCUUUCUCCAUUUUGCUCCCCGGGUGAGCAGCGGAGGCAGACUCCUCCCAGCGCCUGGGCUCAGCAGCACAGCCCAGUGAGGCCGUGGGAGGCGGCUGCCACAUCCCCGGUGCUCCUCUUCCCGGCAGCGGGCACGGACACACUCCUGCUGCUCAUCACCCAGGGACUGCCUUGGUGCUUCUUGCACCCAGCUUAAAAACGAAGGGGCUUGACUGUCAAGCAGUCUUCACUGAAGAGAAUUCAGCAUUCCACAGGCUUGGAGCAAUAGAAAAUACCAGAGGGCUGAGAAAUUCCCGGCAGCAGUAGUCACUGGUCAGUCAGGAUAUCCCAGCUGCGCUCUCUCCUCCCCGGGCUAAAACCAUGGGCCCUGGAAAGCACUGUGCGUCCCGACUCCUCUGCUUCAGGCCUGCCGCUUGGAGCACUCGCUGGAUCCACAGCUCCCCGCCGGAGGACAAAGUGGGACUGCUGGAGACAAUCAUUGGAUUCUCAGCAUUUUCACUGGCAGUUCUCGGACCAGCUGGAUGGUUCCUGUGCCACCUUUCAAGCUAUAAAAAGAAAUAGAAAACAUCCCUUCAAAAUUAAGAUCUAAAGGCUACAAUAAACUGUAAUUCUCCAAACCUGGACUCUCUCGAAAGUUCCGUUCCCACACUGUCACCCAUCCCAUGGGCCAGGUCCCAGAAAGCUUUUGCAGGUACUGUAGAACUGGACCCAGAUGUACAGUGGUGUCAUGAUACAAAAUAGUGGCAGCUCUGCUCUGCCAUCUCCUGCUGCCUUGGACCAGUCUGAAUCUGCCAUCAGGUCCUGUGAGAAGUGGAAGAGCGAGGAGGAGGAGGACUGUAAACAUGCUCAAGUGUAUUGCAGUUUGGCUGUUGAAAGCCACAUCUAUCAUGCUGAUUGCUCUUUCACCUUGUGUUUUAGACUGGUAGAACAUCUGUGUCUAGGAAACAUAGGCCUGUGGUAGACUUAGAGGUACCCUGUCAAACAUGCUUGAGAAUCCUGCCUUCCUGUGGGCAAGAUUAAAGCACAGUGGUAAAUUAUACUCGUGUGAAUCCCUGAAAUACAGGAAGAAGCAGCAGGUUGGCUGAUCCUCCACCAUGGACCAAGCUUUGCAGUGCCUGUGUUCCCAUUUGUGUGCCUUUCCUGUCUGCUUCUUUAAGGAUUCCCUGCAUGGCGAGGUUACAAAAAUGAGUUUACUCUUUGCCUUUCAUCCAUGGUUUUGUCAUUGUUCCUGCAUUCUUUCUGCACCGGCACAUACAGGUACCAUCAAGAGUUUAAAGUAAAUAAAAGGGAAAAUAUAAAGAGAUCAAAAAAAUUUAUAGUCAUCUCAUACUAAACCUCUGAGAAUUUAGGAUGAUUUUCUUGAGAGUUUCUCUUUAAUCUUUACAUGUUUUCUUUUGGUGUGUUCCUCUUCCACCAGGAUAAAUGUUUUUCUGCAGGUCAUGAUUGUCAGGUAUUUAAAUUUAUUUUCAGCUGUUAGAUUAAGAUUUUUGAGAGAUUUCCCCAUGAUUGCUAUUUGCAACUACUAUGAUAAACACUUUGAAGUCUAGACUAAAUUUGAGAAAAGUGCAGUAAAUAACACUUGUUAUGCCAUGUUAUAUGUGUAAUAAAAGAAUGUCUUCUAAUAAUUUCAAGUCUGUCUUGCAAGAAAAUACAGAAUAUCAACCUUUUGUGAUGCUUAAGUAUUAGCAGAAUAUAAUUUAAAAUUCCCUUAAGUCAUUUGUAAUAUCUAAUAUGAAAACAGAUUCCAAAAGUAAGGCUGUGAAAGUGUCAAAGUGUUGUACUUGCUGUACUUCUAAGUAUUAUUUUCAGAUAAAUGGCUUGAGUUCCCUUCAGCCUUGUAACCAUGACUGAAGUUUUCAGAUGAGAAUGGAAACAUUCAUCCUGAGUGUUUAAAGAAACUCAUACUGACUUAUUUUUUUCCAAGAAAUGAUAACUUUGUCACUCAGUUGAACAGUCUGAUGUGAAAGCCCAGUUGUGUAUGUGGAAAGUUUCCCACAGAUUUGAAUGAGUGCUGGAUAUGUGCCUGCAUUCCUGGAAUCCAGAAGAAAAGCAAUGCCAGUAACUGAAAGGCACUUGGACAAGGAGCUUUGCUCCUGCACACUGUGGGUGCAUCCUUUGGAACAAUAAGGCUAUUUUGCAGAAUCUUUUGUAAAAAUCAGCUUUGAGCAUUUCAGUGUAUCUGCUUGUCCUGUAUCUGAUUUCAUCAUCCUUCUCUCAGCUAGUAAUGCUUAAAUAAAUCAGUAAGAUAUUGCAUUUCA